rnacentral:rRNA from 1 species
AGAAUCAACGCUGGCGGCGUGCCUAACACAUGCAAGUCGAACGAGAAAGUGGAGCAAUCCAUGAGUAAAGUGGCGCACGGGUGAGUAACACGUGACUAACCUACCCUUGAGUGGGGGAUAACCUAGGGAAACCUGGGCUAAUACCGCAUAAUACCUUCGGGUCAAAGGAGCAAUUCGCUUAAGGAGGGGGUCGCGGCCGAUUAGUUAGUUGGCGGGGUAAUGGCCCACCAAGACUGUGAUCGGUAUCCGGCCUGAGAGGGCGCACGGACACACUGGAACUGAAACACGGUCCAGACUCCUACGGGAGGCAGCAGUGGGGAAUUUUGCGCAAUGGGGGAAACCCUGACGCAGCAACGCCGCGUGGAGGAUGAAGCCCCUUGGGGCGUAAACUCCUUUCGAUCGGGACGAUAAUGACGGUACCGGAAGAAGAAGCCCCGGCUAACUCGUGCCAGCAGCCGC